rnacentral:rRNA from 1 species
UACGUAGGGCGCAAGCGUUGUUCGGAAUUACUGGGCGUAAAGGGCUCGUAGGCGGCCAACUAAGUCGGACGUGAAAUCCCUCGGCUCAACCGGGGAACUGCGUCCGAUACUGGAUGGCUUGAGUUCGGGAGAGGGAUGCGGAAUUCCAGGUGUAGCGGUGAAAUGCGUAGAUAUCUGGAGGAACACCGGUGGCGAAGGCGGCAUCCUGGACCGACACUGACGCUGAGGAGCGAAAGCCAGGGGAGCAAACGGG